AUGAGAAUACACAGCAAUGAUCAGGAUAGGAAGUGUCAAGGGUACCAAGAAGCAGUAAUACCUGUUAUUAUAAAAUAAACUGUCGUUUUGAAUAGCAGAGAUGAUAGGACUGUCCGAUAAUGGAGGAAGCUUUGAUAUUACUGCCGCGGAUAGAAAUCCCACAAAAGAAACGGAACCGAUCAAGACAAGCAACCAUCCACUAAACGUUGCCGUUUUGCUGAAUUCCAUUCGAUAA